GAGAGAAGAGCAGCUGUGGCAAAUUCACGGCUACCGAGCUGCAUACUGCUUUUUCUUUGUUUUAAUGCGACUCUGGCACCUGGCACUGCUUCCACUCCCAACACUGACACACACUGACUAGACAGUCUGUCUAUUCUCACAGGCACACAGCUGUUCAAGGGAGGCACUGCUCUGCUCCAUGCGCAUCGUGAAGUAACAUUGCAUAAUGAGAGGCGGAGCUCAAGGCAGCCACCUGGAGGACGUGGUCACGGAUGCCAGAAGAUUGAAGGGACAGUCUCCUUAAUAUGUGUUCGAAAAAAGCAGUUCUACUCGUCGGCCAGUAACUCCUAUCACAUCUGAUGAUGAUGACGCUGCGGAAGCAGGUCCAUCAAAAGAAGAAUGGAGCAGCAGAAGUGGCACUUCUGUAAGACAUCACCACAAAAAACCUGUUGACGAAAAGAAAGCAAGGUCGUAUGUCCCGGACCAACCACAGCAGGCUACCCCGCCACGAAGAUUAUCGUCCGUAUGUUCUGUCCCCCCACUCAAAAUUUUGGAUACACCUCCAAGAUGUCAUCCACACUCCCCUCAUCUUGAUUCUUCUAGUCCUGGGAACAGCAUCCCUCCGCAACAACAGCAACACAGUGACAUGGAGGCGACAAACAUCUUAGAAAUGCAGCAAUUAAGGCAAGGAAUGAGCCCCCCAGCACCUGUGAGUACACCACCACAGCAAAGCACACCACCACCACAACACAGCCCAACAACACCAGGAACACAAGGCCCUGAUUAGGUGUUUUGGACCAUUUGAGCUAGACAGCAGGCCACUAAUAAAGAUUGCCUGCGUAUACAGACACAAAUGUUUGCAAACCUACCAUCUCACCUCAGAAGAAUAUCAAGAAAUCUGAGUAGACAAAAUUAACAAACAACCAGAAUAGGCAAUACCAUGGAACUCAUGCGUACACACAUUACACAGGUCAUGGCCAACUUACAGUGCAUAAUGGAAGAACAGCACAGACUAAUGGAAGAACAGCACAGACUAAUGGAAGAACAGCACAGACAACUGCAAAGUUAUAUGAACAUUUUUCAAAACAAUCAAAAGAUUAAUGAAAGUUUAUUCAGAAUAGUAGACAAUCAAAAUGCUGCUACACGUGAACUCAAUGCCACCCUCACUGACCUGAAUGAAACACUCAGAUGCAUGCACCAACAGCAAACAAGCAGCAGUUCUGGUACGACUACUCCAAAUAUCACGCCAGUCUCAUCACCACCAAGACGCUCCACCAGAGCACGACAACAUGACAGUGCUAAAGGCAAAGGGCAGGACAAGCAGCCACCAAAAAAAAACGUGAAAAAAAUACAAGUUAGACAUUUGUGAUAAGUAACUCAAAAUAGUUAGUAAGUGUAUGUUUGGCAAAAAAUAUAUAACACUUAGCUCCUUGACAAUUUUAACAACAUCAUUAAUUAUAAGUGCUACAAACAACAACAUAAAAUUUGUACGCACAUUUAUUCUUUACCAUUUUUUUGGUAUUGGAGGAUGGAAAUGUUGAUGGAGCCGCACAUACAUGUUAGCAGGAAGUAAACUGACCACUUGAUUUUUUUCUAAUCAUUACUCUUUCUAGAUUACAAUCAUUCUCUUUUCCUGCAGACCCAAUAAUUGGCAGCCAGGCAGAAUGUCUUUAGCAUGAAGUAAACUGACCACUUGAUUUUUUUCUAAUCAUUACUCUUUCUAGAUUCCAAUCAUUCUCUUUUCCUGCAGACCCAAUAAUUGGCAGCCAGGCAGAAUAUCUUUAGCAGGAAGUAAACUGACCACUUGAUUUUUUUCUAAUCAUUUCUCUUUCUAGAUUCCAAUCAUUCUCUUUUCCUGCAGACAAUCCAAAUUACAAUGUUAUUGAUACAUAUUUUACCUUUCUUCUCUAUACAACAUUACAAGAAGAACACAAUUGAGUUGCGUAAAAAGCUUUUAAUAUGUUGUCUUUGAUUCUUAAAAAAACAUUGACCAAAUGAAUGUCAGUAUUGUUGGGACAUAUUUGUGUGUGAUAAAAAUUAGUAAGAAUGUUAUUACACAUGAUGCUGAAAAAAACAAAUAUGUACUUUUUAAAGAAAAAACAAAGAAUGUGUAUAAAAAUGUAUAUAUGUGGCAAACUUUGUAUUUACUUACACAUCAUCAAGUUUACUGCAUCAAACA